CUUUUUCCUUUCUUUCGAACUCCCCCAUUUCUCUCUUCUUCUUCCCCGUGAAAGACACACAGACACACACACACCCACAGCUACACCUACUCGAGGAAAUCAUCACCAUCGUCGCCAUUCAACUGCAUAUAUAUCUCUCUCUCUCCCUUGCUCACGGCGCCGGGAGGGUACGAACACCUCCGGCGAGUUUUGUGAUUUUUCCGGUUGGGUUUUGGAGUGUUUUUGGCACGGGUGAGUGCACACCCAAAUUUCCGGCGAGCACCGUCCCUUUCGAGGCGAUUUCCGGCCAAACCACGGCGAGUUGGCCGGCGUGCGAGUUUCCGGCGAUCUCAGUGACUUUCGAGGUGUUUUCCAGCCAAACCACGGCGAGUUAGACGUCGUGUGAGGUACCAUUCUCUUCGUCUCUUCGAGAGCUACGAUUUUCAUUUUUGAAUCACUUGAUUUCGUCGAGUAUUAACAAAGUUAUGGACAU